rnacentral:rRNA from 1 species
GACGAACGCUGGCGGCGUGCUUAACACAUGCAAGUCGAACGGAAAGGCCCUGCUUUUGUGGGGUGCUCGAGUGGCGAACGGGUGAGUAACACGUGAGUAACCUGCCCUUGACUUUGGGAUAACUUCAGGAAACUGGGGCUAAUACCGGAUAGGAGCUCCUGCUGCAUGGUGGGGGUUGGAAAGUUUCGGCGGUUGGGGAUGGACUCGCGGCUUAUCAGCUUGUUGGUGGGGUAGUGGCUUACCAAGGCUUUGACGGGUAGCCGGCCUGAGAGGGUGACCGGCCACAUUGGGACUGAGAUACGGCCCAGACUCCUACGGGAGGCAGCAGUGGGGAAUAUUGCACAAUGGGCGGAAGCCUGAUGCAGAAACGCCGCGUGCGGGAUGACGGCCUUCGGGUUGUAAACCGCUUUCGCCUGUGACGAAGCGUGAGUGACGGUAAUGGGUAAAGAAGCACCGGCUAACUACGUGCCAGCAGCCGCGGUGAUACGUAGGGUGCGAGCGUUGUCCGGAUUUAUUGGGCGUAAAGGGCUCGUAGGUGGUUGAUCGCGUCGGAAGUGUAAUCUUGGGGCUUAACCCUGAGCGUGCUUUCGAUACGGGUUGACUUGAGGAAGGUAGGGGAGAAUGGAAUUCCUGGUGGAGCGGUGGAAUGCGCAGAUAUCAGGAGGAACACCAGUGGCGAAGGCGGUUCUCUGGGCCUUUCCUGACGCUGAGGAGCGAAAGCGUGGGGAGCGAACAGGCUUAGAUACCCUGGUAGUCCACGCUGUAAACGGUGGGUACUAGGUGUGGGGUCCAUUCCACGGGUUCCGUGCCGUAGCUAACGCUUUAAGUACCCCGCCUGGGGAGUACGGCCGCAAGGCUAAAACUCAAAGGAAUUGACGGGGCCCCGCACAUGCGGCGGAGCAUGCGGAUUAAUUCGAUGCAACGCGUAGAACCUUACCUGGGUUUGACAUGGAUCGGGAGUGCUCAGAGAUGGGUGUGCCUCUUUUGGGGUCGGUUCACAGGUGGUGCAUGGCUGUCGUCAGCUCGUGUCGUGAGAUGUUGGGUUAAGUCCCGCAACGAGCGCAACCCUUGUUCACUGUUGCCAGCACGUUAUGGUGGGGACUCAGUGGAGACCGCCGGGGUCAACUCGGAGGAAGGUGGGGAUGACGUCAAGUCAUCAUGCCCCUUAUGUCCAGGGCUUCACGCAUGCUACAAUGGCUGGUACAGAGAGUGGCGAGCCUGUGAGGGUGAGCGAAUCUCGGAAAGCCGGUCUCAGUUCGGAUUGGGGUCUGCAACUCGACCUCAUGAAGUCGGAGUCGCUAGUAAUCGCAGAUCAGCAACGCUGCGGUGAAUACGUUCCCGGG